rnacentral:tmRNA from 1 species
AAGUUUUAUCCCGACAAUUUAAAAGAAGAUAAACAUGUAGAAAACACUUUGGUUACUUGUUUGGACGCGGGUUCGACUCCCGCCAUCUCCACGA